rnacentral:lncRNA from 1 species
CUUUUGCAAUUUUUGUUUCUUAAGAUAGGCAAGCUUGUGAUGUUCAAAAUAACAAGCUCUUUCUUCUAGAAGUGCCAUUUUUGCUUUCUUUGCAAAGUGUAAGCUAGCAAAAUGUUUGAAAAAGUGAUCAAGUUUUGCAACAUACAAGCUAGCAAAAAUGCCAAACUAGCAAGAGAUAAUGUUUUACAUGAGGCAAGCAAACAAUUUGGCAAAUGUUACAUUU